rnacentral:lncRNA from 1 species
UUUUCAUCAUUAGAAUUAAUCAAUGUGGACAAGUCAACCCAUCACCAAGCCUCAUUACCCUAAACACAUAUUACAAGGAAAUACAUGAAUUCCAUACACUUAACAAGGGUUUAGAAAUCCACUUGCCUCAAUCAAUCAAGAAUUCACUCCGGAACUUGAGCCUUCCCUUUUCGUUGAACUUUCAACUCAAAGCAAUCUAUUCAAAUAAAUGACCACAGUAAGAUUCCAAAACUAACGACACUUAUAUUACUAUGUGUUUAGCUUUGACCCAAAAAUCCACCCAAGUUUAUAAUCAAGUUCUUAAGCUCGAUGUCAAUUAACAUAUCAACUCUCAUAUUUCUCAAAUUCAAGCCUAGGGUUAAGUCAUAAUUUCCCCAAACACUAUAACCCUAAUAGCUUUCAUAUAAUAUAAUACACUCGAUAUUUAAUCAAAUAUCUCAAUAUAUCAAACUUGAAUCAUAAUAUGAAAACUAAAGAAAAUAAACCAAAAUCUGCCUAAAUCAAACGUGACCCAUACUUAACCUGCAUACAAAGAAAUAUCCAGAACCUUAUUUGUCCAUAAUUACCAAUUUAUAAUUGUUUCGUGACUUUUGCCCACUAUUUUAUCCCAAUCGAAAAUUGAUGCCACACAUAUGGCCAAUGUAAGACAAAAUAUUUGUGAAUUCCAAACAUUAAUUACCUACUAGUUAAAUAAUGGAAACUCCCCACCGAUUGACAGUUUAAUACUUUUCAUAUACACCUCUUAUAUUUAACAAUUUUACAUUUCAACCAAAACCGCUAUAAUCCAUCCAAUUUCUAAUUUAACAUAUUAAUAUAAUAAUAUAACUUAUCACCAACCAUUAAUAUACUAUUAUUUUCCUAUAACAACAAUACAGAAACAAAAUAAACUUAAGAUUUUACCUGAAGCAUGCGUUUCUUAUCAUGGCAUCGACCUGUGCCCUCCGCCUCUCUCGUCCGACGCCCAGGUAAUUUUCUCCUCUUUUUAUUAUAUUUUCUUUUCAUAUAAAAAUAAUCAAGUAUAAAAGUGAAAAACCCUAUUACUUAUUUUAAUAUAUAAGGGUCAAAUAGUGUGGGGUCUUAAAUAAAUUAUCACUUUAGUCCAUUAACUAUUGAUUAAUUCAAUUAUCUACAAUUAUCCAUCAAUUAAUUAACUGUAGUUAAACGAAUAUUUAAAAUUCCCACAAAUGACCUUCCGGGUCAUUACACCGGGC